rnacentral:rRNA from 1 species
ACGCUCGACACCUACGGGGGCAGCAGUGGGGAAUAUUGCACAAUGGGGGAAACCCUGAUGCAGCAACGCCGCGUGAAGGAAGACGGUUUUCGGAUUGUAAACUUCUGUUCUUAGUGAAGAUAGUGACGGUAGCUAAGGAGCAAGCCACGGCUAACUACGUGCCAGCAGCCGCGGUAAUCUGAGCGGGCGUGGCGAAGGC